rnacentral:rRNA from 1 species
CAGUAGCCGCGGUAAUACGGAGGGGGCUAGCGUUGUUCGGAAUUACUGGGCGUAAAGCGCACGUAGGCGGCUUUGUAAGUCAGAGGUGAAAGCCCGGGGCUCAACCCCGGAAUUGCCUUUGAGACUGCAUCGCUUGAAUCCAGGAGAGGUGAGUGGAAUUCCGAGUGUAGAGGUGAAAUUCGUAGAUAUUCGGAAGAACACCAGUGGCGAAGGCGGCUCACUGGACUGGUAUUGACGCUGAGGUGCGAAAGCGUGGGGAGCAAACAGGAUUAGAUACCCCGGUAGUCCCUGUCUCUUAUAC